AUGAAAAGUUUAAUCACCAUAAUGACAGAUUCCUCAGAUGCGUUCCAGCUCAAUAACAGCGAUGAUCAAACUCCAGAUUCAGCUGAUCCCGAUGAGAAUCUGCGCUUUCCAGUCAGAGUCCGUCACUCCUCCUCAGCCCCGCCUCUACUGCGAGACACACUCUUCCUGCUUCAUCACAAACACACCGAGACGGGGUUUCAUCAAACUGAUCUGAAGUCUUCAGCUUUCUCACAUAUCUUCUGGCACACGGCAGUUGUGACUAAAGCAGACAGGGAUGCCAAGGAUGAGCCUCAGAGGAGAUCUGCACGGUUAUCAGCAAGACCAGCUUAUGUGAAGGCUGAACCCAAACCAAAAAAGACGACUAAGAAAGACAAAGCAGCCAAUGUCAAAAAAGAGGAUAAAAAGAGCAAGGUGAAGGCCAAGGAGAGCUCAGAGUCUGCAGCCAGCGAGGAGAACCACUCCGAAAAUUGAGAGACCAAGACCAACACGGUCACAAAGACUCGUACAAACGAAGGAAGUGAAAUCUGAGUAGCACUAUUGCCUCCCAUCAACACUGUCAUCACAGCUCCUCAUCACUCCUAGUGUUGUGUCGUUGUCCGUCCUCCAAGGCAUAUCGUUCACAGAGAAAUAUUUUUAUCAAUGGUUUUAUAAGUAUCAGCACAGGUUUUUUAGCACAAAAUUAAGCUAAAUGCUGAGCACCCUGUAGAUCUGCAGCGAUUGUUUCUGCAAGAAUGCCACACUAAAGGUAUUUUUAAAUGCCAUUUAUUGUUAAUGAUAACUUAUUUGGUCUAGAAAAAUCAUACCUGCCUCUA
ensembl:lncRNA